rnacentral:rRNA from 1 species
UACAUGGGGUGCAAACGUUGCUCGGAAUUAUUGGGCGUAAAGCGCGCGUAGGCGGUUACUCAAGUCGGGUGUGAAAGCCCUCGGCUUAACUGAGGAAGUGCACCCGAAACUGAGUAGCUAGAGUACCAAAGAGGGUCGCGGAAUUCCCGGUGUAGAGGUGAAAUUCGUAGAUAUCGGGAGGAACACCGGUGGCGAAGGCGGCGACCUGGGUGGAUACUGACGCUGAGGCGCGAAGGUCAGGGGAGCAAACGGG